rnacentral:rRNA from 1 species
GGAAACAAGAUGCUAAUACCGGAUAACAACAGAUGAUGCCUAUCAACUGUUUAAAAGAUGGUUCUGCUAUCACUCUUGGAUGGACCUGCGGUGCAUUAGCUAGUUGGUAGGGUAACGGCCUACCAAGGCGAUGAUGCAUAGCCGAGUUGAGAGACUGAUCGGCCACAUUGGGACUGAGACACGGGCCCAAACUCCUACGGGAGGCAGCAGGU